rnacentral:rRNA from 1 species
UACGUAGGGUGCGAGCGUUAAUCGGAAUUACUGGGCGUAAAGGGUGCGCAGGCGGUUAUAUAAGACAGAUGUGAAAUCCCCGGGCUCAACCUGGGAACUGCGUUUGUGACUGUAUGACUAGAGUACGGUAGAGAGGGGUGGAAUUCCUGGUGUAGCAGUGAAAUGCGUAGAUAUCAGGAGGAACAUCGAUGGCGAAGGCAGCCCCUUGGGCCAACACUGACGCUCAGGCACGAAAGCGUGGGGAGCAAACAGG